rnacentral:rRNA from 1 species
GACGAACGCUGGCGGCGUGCUUAACACAUGCAAGUCGAGCGGUAAGGCCCUUUCGGGGGUACACGAGCGGCGAACGGGUGAGUAAUACGUGGGUGACCUGCCCUCAGCUCUGGGAUAAGCCUGGGAAACCGGGUCUAAUACUGGAUAUGACUCCAUGACGCAUGUUGUGGGGUGGAAAGCCUUGUGCGGCUGAGGAUGGGCCCGCGGCCUAUCAGCUUGUUGGUGGGGUGANGGCCUACCAAGGCGACGACGGGUAGCCGGCCUGAGAGGGCGACCGGCCACACUGGGACUGAGACACGGCCCAGACUCCUACGGGAGGCAGCAGUGGGGAAUCUUGCGCAAUGGGCGAAAGCCUGACGCAGCGACGCCGCGUGAGGGAUGACGGCCU